GACGAACGCUGGCGGCGUGCCUAAUACAUGCAAGUCGAACGCAGUGGGGACGGGUGAGUAACACGUUGGUAACCUCCCAUCAGAGGGGAUAACACUUGGAAACAGGUGCUAAACCGAUACUGAUGGAUGGACCCGCGGUGCAUUAGCUAGUGGGUGAGGUAACGGCUCACCAAGGCCACGAUGCAUAGCCGACCGGGGAGGGUGAUCGGCAACACGGGGACUGGGACCCGGCCCAGAUUCCUACGGAAGGAAGAAGGAGGGAAUCUUCGGAAAUGGAGGAAAGUCUGACCGAGCAACGCCGCGGGAGUGAAGAAGGUUUUCGGAUCGUAAACCUCUGUUGUUAGAGAAGCGGUAUCUAACCAGAAAGCCACGGCUAACUACGUGCCAGCAGCCGCGGUAAUAC
rnacentral:rRNA from 1 species